AAAUAUCAAGAACUCAAAACGUUUUGAGCAUACUGUAAAUGACGCGAACGCAAACGCAAGAAUUAAAAAAAAACACACUAAGCAAAUCAAUCAUGGCGACAGCGUGUGCUAUGCUUUGGUGAAUGAAAUAGUAAAUUGACAAUAUCGGAAGGAAAUCUUUUCGGCUGAUUCUAACCAUGGGAUCACAUGCGAAAUUUGUUUCCGAUUACUGUAAAACUUGGGACAAAUCCGGAAAGGAGCAAUUUGUGAAACAUGUGACUCAAUUUAUCAAAGAUGACGAAAGAAGUCCACUAUUUACAAAGUCAGGUAAAGUUUCUGGAUUAUCUCAGACAAUAUAUGACUUAUUGCUCAGCGGUCUUCGAGGGAAUCUUAAGAAAGAAGCUGUUCUCUCUGCCCUUAAGGAGAUAUCUGUAUUGCAUGCAGAUAUCCCAUCAAUAAUACUAGAUGUAGUCAGUGUGCUUGAUGCAGAGACCUGCACAGAUGUGCAAAGUGAAGAGCGCACUAAUUUCUGCCACAUUAUUAGGGAAUUAGAGCCAUUCAUAUCAGAUAAACUCCUAAAAGAGAGGUUGGAAAUUGACACCCUACAAGAUGCUGGCACUCUGAAAAAUAAACUCUUUUAUACUAAGUUUAUAAAAAUCAAGACUAAGUUGUAUUAUAAACAACGUAAGUUUAAUUUAUUUAGAGAAGAAAGUGAAGGAUAUGCUAAGUUAAUUGUUGAAUUAAAUCAGGAAAUAAUUGAGAAGACAGAAUGGAAGAAUUUAUUAGAAAUCAUUCAGUCACUAAUAGGUUGUUUCAACUUGGACCCCAACAGGGCACUAGAUAUAAUUUUAGAAUCUUUUGAGUCAAGAACACAUUCAGAUCAAUUAUUUAUACCACUAAUAAAGAACUACAUGGGUGAUCCCCAAGUCAUUUCUGAGGUUUUGGGCUUCAAGCUUGGAAACAUGGAAGUACUUGAAAAUUAUAAAGAACCACCACCCCUGAUGACUGUAAUAGCUUUGCUUUUGCAACAUCAGGUCAUAUCUCUUGAUGACAUAUAUCCAUGGUUACGUCCUGAUGACUCCAUAAUGGCCAAAGAAGCAGAAAAAGAAUUGAAAACUGUACAGGACUACAUUCGUAAACUAAGCAUUGUGUCAACUAAGGGACCUCAACCCAAUGGGCCAACUGAAUAUGUUGAAGCCGCAGCUGAUCCUCAGGAAUAUUGGGGUAAUCAGAAGUUGGUGCUAUGUGAAGCUUUGCUAAAGGUGACUGCUUGGCGUGAAUUCGCGGCCCUAUCCGCUCGCUUGCCGACCAACAUCAUGCCUCAGCGGCCUGCCGUGGCCUUAUGUAACAUGCUUCACGCUCUUGUUGAGCCUAUAUACAGAUCUAAUUGUCGAGUUGCUCCAAAAAUAAUAGGCAAACCUAUCCCACCUCUAAAGUCAAGUCUGGCACCUCCAGCUUGCAAGACAUUUGAAGACAUGAAAGAGACUGUCAUUCCAGCUUUGAUCCUGCUAGGGCCGUCUCUUCAUUAUGAUCCUAUUUUAAUGUACAAAAUAAUUCGUAUCCUAAGAACUGCGCGGUCUAUGAAAGAGGAUCCAUUACAUCAUGAAGCGCUUACAGUUUUGGAUGCCGCCAUAUUGCCAGCUUUGACUUUGAUGGAUGGUAACUGUUGUAUGGCUGAAGAAGUCUAUACCUUGUUGAAGUUAUACCCGUAUCAGUGCAGGUAUUGCCUAUACUCUCGCUGGAAAAACGAAGCUGCCGAAAGAAUACCCUCUCUGAUGCGUGUGCGGGGUAACUCCUUGCAGAGAAUUAAGCACAUAAUGAAACGUGUUUCCAAAGAAAAUAUAAAACCUCAGGGUCGUCUGAUUGGAAAACUGUCGCAUGCUGCUCCUACUUUAAUUUUUGACUAUAUGCUGCUACAGAUCCAAACAUACGACAACCUGAUCGGUCCGGUGGUGGAGUCGCUGAAGUACCUGACGUCGCUGUCGCUGGACGUGCUGGGCUACUGCGUGCUGGAGGCGCUGUGCGGCGGGCGCGCGGGCGGCGGCGCGGCGCACCCCGCGUGGCUGCAGGCGCUCGCCGCCUUCGCCGGCGCCGCCUUCAAGAAGCACAACAUCGAGCUCACGGCCUUGCUGCAGUUCGUUGCUAACAGGCUUAAGGCGCAGCAGAGUCAAGACCUGCUGAUCCUCAAAGAAAUUGUACAGAAGAUGGCCGGUAUAGAGGCCGCUGAAGAAAUGACACCUGAACAGUUAGAGGCAAUGGCUGGAGGCGAACUCUUGAAAGGGGAGGCUGGAUACUUUUCUCAAGUGAGGAACACGAAACGAUCGUCAGCCAGAUUAAAAGAAGCUAUCGUCGGAAAUAAUUUGGACAUUUCGUUGUGUAUACUAGCUGCACAACAGCGUCAUUGUUGUGUUUGGAAAGAAUAUGACGAAGACCUUUCCUCAAGUGGUGAGCCACCAGGGUCACAGCUAAAAGUUGUCGGCAGAUUAGCCGAUCAAUGUCAAGAUGCUUUAGUACAACUUGGUACCUUCUUGGCAUCAUCUCAUGCCCCUGACGAAUAUGCCGCGAGAUUACCGCCUUUGCAGGAAUUACUUCGAGAUUAUCAUGUGGAUGCAGAUGUAGCAUUUUUCCUGCACCGUCCUGUAUUGGCUCAGAAAAUUGCCGCCAGAGUUGAAGCUCUACGAAAACAAUCAGAUAGCAAGACAGAGUCUUUAGAGAAAAGUAUUGAAAGAUACACUCAGGCUGCACAGGAGGCAUUAGAACCUAUUGUUCUGUCCGUAACUCCUAUAUUACCCAAUAAGGUUUGGGAGGAUAUUUCUCCUGAGUUUUAUGUAACUUUUUGGUCGCUGUCAAUGUAUGACCUUCGGGUUCCGGAGGAAAGUUACGAUAGAGAAAUCGGUCGCCUCAAAAUUGCGGCGGCCAACGCAACAAAGGACUCCUCGCAAGGCACAAAAGGGAAGAAGGAACAGGAGCGAUUCAACGCGCUUAUUGACAAACUCCAGGAGGAGCGGCGGCGGCAGCAGGAGCACGUGCGGCGCGUGGUGGCGCGGCUGGCGCGGGAGUGCGGCGGCUGGUUCCCCGCGCGCGCCGCCAAGUCCGCCAAGAACGAGACCGUCACGCGCCUCAUGCAGCUGUGCCUGUUCCCGCGCUGCGUCUUCACGGCCGCCGACGCGCUCUACUGCGCCGAGUUCGUGCACACCGUGCACUCGCUGCGGACGCCCAACUUCUCCACGCUCCUGUGCUACGAUAGACUAUUUUGCGACAUCACAUACUCGGUGAUGUCAUGCACGGAAGGGGAGGCGGCACGGUACGGCACGUUCCUGUGCAAGGUGCUAGGCACGGCGAUGCGCUGGCACGGCGACAAGGAGGCGUUCCACCGCGAGUGUGCACACUACCCCGGCUUCGUCACCAAGUACCGCGUCUCCAACCAGUUCACUGAGGCGAAUGAUCAUGUUGGAUACGAGAAUUAUAGACACGUGUGCCACAAGUGGCAUUACAAGAUCACUAAAGCCAUGGUUGUAUGUCUGGACUCGGGUGAUUACGUGCAGAUACGAAACGCACUCAUCGUGCUCAUAAGAGUCUUACCGCAUUUCCCCGUGCUGGCCAAACUGGCUCAAAUCAUCGAACGAAAAAUCGACAAAGUUAAAGAAGAGGAGAAGACGCAGCGGCAAGAUCUUUAUGUGCUUGCAACGGGUUACAGUGGCCAGUUGCGCCAAAAAGGACCUAAUAUGAUGCGGGAAAGUGAUUUUCAUCAGUGCGUGGUGCUGCAGGUGGGCGACAAGCACAAGCUGCCGGGCGCCGCGGCGCCGCCCGCCGCCGCCAAGGACGAGCCCGUCGCCGCCAAGCCCGACCAGGACACUGCCGCCUCUCCGCCGCAGCCACUCGAUGCUGAAAAAAAAGAGUCUAGGUCCAGUGACAGACGUCGAGAAGACCCUGAGCGGGAAAAGGAGUCAAAACGGGAGUCACGAUCAUCUCUUAAGGAAAGGGGCAAAGAAGAAAUCAGAAGCAAAGAUAGAUCUCCCCGGGAACGCUCUCAUAGGGAGGAACGUUAUCUGGAAACAAUAUCACCGCCACAUGAUCAUCGCAGUGCUCCUGAUGAUAUAGAACGAGAUGUGAAACGUCGUAAAGUAGAGAACAGCGGCAAUGGCAAGGUGAGUAUUGUUGUAAUAAACCGACCUUGCAUCGCGCUCGCACCGGACUGAGGAUUGGGCUGGACCGACCACGAUGUGCCGCACGAUCUACUAAAAUCAAAAAUAAAAUCAGUGUUCAUCAAGAUCAUCGGGACUAUGUGAAAUCCAGUGCAAUAUAGACUAUAGACUUUUAAAGUGCCUAUAAAAUAAUAAUAAUACAUAAAAAUCAAUAAAACUAAACAAAUAAAAAUAUAACCUGUGAAAAAUUUACUUCGAAUAUAGUCAUCUAAAAUUUGAAUCGCUGCAUGAAUAAGAAGAGGAUUUUAGCGUCGUGUGAACUAUAGAAGACUGAAUAUUUUUUGCAACUAAACAAGGAGUCUGCAAUAUAAUAGAAGCAAUACUUAUCACUUAUGGAAUGCAAAUUGCUAAGUUAACGGAUUUACAAUCAAAGUAAUAUAGUAACGACCUUACCUUCGUCUAAGAAACUGGCGAUCCUGCCAAGAAGAGGACCAUUAAUAUCUAUGAAAAUUACGCGAGGAACAAAGGAGGGGAGUGCAAGAUCCAAAUCUUAUAAUUCAUCAAGUGGAAGAUAAAAUUAUAAUAAUAAAAAUCUCAGUAAAAGUUCAAGAUUUAGUGCUCUAAAAUACAAAUUAACAUGCAAGAUACAAAUUAAAACCGAAGGAAAAAACAUCGUGUGUAUCGUAAGUCCACUCAGCCCAGUCCGAUGAAAUACGGUAAGGAAUUAUGUUCUAGAAUUUCAGUCUAAAGGUCCUGUGAAUAAAGAAUGUAAUUUGAAACUGAUAAAAUUCUAUAAAGAAUGUUAAACAAAAAUAUCUCAAAACAAGGAAACUCUUGACGAUAUGCUGGUAGUUACCAAACAAGAAAUUUGAACAUGGAAGGAACAAGUAAAGAAAUCAUCGUAAACACAAAAAAAUUUAAGGACUGUACUUCACCUUCCCAAGUACAAGUUGAAACCAAGAAAACAGUUCAAUGGAUAACAUCUAAUGAAUGGAUCAUGAUUACGCAGAACAAUGAAGAAUCUCACCAAUUGAAAGAUUUGAAGCAAAGAACUCUUAGUAGUUAUAAACUCCUGUUGCUGCCAAACUGGACAUAAAUAAAUAAAACGGAACGUGUUGAAAAGGAUUAAGAUCACGCUGGAGUUGCAGUGAAAGAGAGUGGAAGAUUUCUUUAUUCAUAGUCCCUUUUGACUGACAAUAUUAUUUUAGAAAUAACUAAUUAUAAUAAAGCUUUGUAAAGUAAAUCGAAGUGCAGAUUGUAUUUUAGUACUCAUUUUUGUCUACUGUGUCAAAAGUUAAUAUUAAUUUUCUGCAAAAGCAGGGUAGCAAAGAGAUAGAAGAACGUUCUCCAGAGAAGGAAAAACGAAAGGCCAAAUUAAGGGGUGAUGAACGCAAAGAACGUAAGAUGAAUCGCAAAAGGGAUAGAGCAGAGGAAUCCGUGAUUUUGGAGCAAAAAAGGCGGCGUGAUGAACAGAAAGCAGUCAUCAAAAUGGGAAGCCAUCAAAAUGGUUCUCAAGAAGAUCAUCACUAUGAGAAAUACCACAAAAGGGAGAAAUCACCCUUCCGAGAUCGUUCACACGAAGAACCAAGAGAUAAUAAACAUAGACGAUCGAAUGAAUCAAAAAUAAGAAGAUAAAUACCGACGCAAACAAAAGGAUUGAAGAUGAGAAUAAAAUUGUGGUACGAUUUCAUUAAGAAUAAAAUAUUAAACAAC